CUGUCGGCCCGGCCAGGACACUUCAGGCUAACCCGAAUCCGUAUACGUCAAAACAUGUCUGUUCUUCGUUUCACUUUGUUCUGCGGCGAGGUGACGAUCGAGUUCCUCUGAUUUCUCGAAACGGAUUGCGUUAUGGAUUCUAUGUGUUUAAUCCCAUUAAUACAGUCGCCCACUACAAAUUCUUCCAUGCAUAUUUUGCGUUGGCGAGAUCUGUAAUCUCUGGGUAUAAAUACAUCUGUAUUAUUCUGCUGUGACCAGCUUGAUAACAGGCUCAUCUUUUGCCAAAGAUUCUGACUUUCUUCAACAGAUUCAAACAAAGAGGGUUUAUAAGGAUGACACAAAGUGGUCAAGAAGAAACUAUGGCAUCUCAACAUUCCAGUGCUAUGGUUGAUAUCAAUAUAUUGCUGUAUAAGAUCAACUUUGUUAUUCAUUGAAUUUUUAUGCAAACAUCCGUUUGUUUCGUUUUUCGUAAUAAAGUGGGUAAUCUAUAAUAUUGUGAAACUGCCGUAUAAAAAAAAUUAUUCACUGCUUUUUUCGUUCGACAAUUUCAAAAAGAUAAUGAUGAAAAUACCAAAUUGGAAAAUUGAUAAUAACAAAAAAAAAAAAUUACGAAUCCCUGAGUUGAAUUUAAACGUUUU